rnacentral:rRNA from 1 species
UACGUAGGGGGCUAGCGUUGUCCGGAAUCAUUGGGCGUAAAGCGCGUGUAGGCGGUCCGGCAAGUCCGCUGUGAAAGUCGGGGGCUCAACCCUCGAAAGCCGGUGGAAACUGUCGGGCUAGAGUGCGGAAGAGGCGAGUGGAAUUCCUGGUGUAGCGGUGAAAUGCGCAGAUAUCAGGAGGAACACCAAUUGCGAAGGCAGCUCGCUGGGACGUUACUGACGCUGAGACGCGAAAGCGUGGGGAGCAAACAGG